AUGCCCACUUUGGCAGCACGUAUACUAACAGUGGAACAAUACUGAGAAGAUUAGCACGGCCCCUGCAUAAGGAUGACAUGCAAAUUCGUGAAGCAUUCCAUAUUUAU
ensembl:snRNA U6 U6 spliceosomal RNA